GAUGAACGCUGGCGGCGUGCUUAACACAUGCAAGUCGAACGGUGAAGCAGGAGCUUGCUGCUGUGGAUCAGUGGCGAACGGGUGAGUAACACGUGAGCAAUCUGCUCUGGACUCUGGGAUAAGCGUUGGAAACGACGUCUAAUACCGGAUACGAGGCGUGGGGGCAUCCCCAACGCCUGGAAAGAACUUCGGUCCAGGAUGAGCUCGCGGCCUAUCAGGUAGUUGGUGAGGUAAUGGCUCACCAAGCCUACGACGGGUAGCCGGCCUGAGAGGGUGACCGGCCACACUGGGACUGAGACACGGCCCAGACUCCUACGGGAGGCAGCAGUGGGGAAUAUUGCACAAUGGGCGCAAGCCUGAUGCGGCAACGCCGCGUGAGGGACGACGGCCUUCGGGUUGUAAACCUCUUUUAGCAGGGAAGAAGCGAAAGUGACGGUACCUGCAGAAAAAGCACCGGCUAACUACGUGCCAGCAGCCGCCGUAACAC
rnacentral:rRNA from 1 species